rnacentral:lncRNA from 1 species
CAAGCCUGUGGCAUGCAGAAGUUCCUGGGACAGGGAUCAAACUCAUGCUACAGUAGUGACCUGAGUUGCUGCUGUGACAAUGCCAGAUCCUUACCCGCUGCACCACAAAACUCCCAUUCUUUUCAUCAUUACUGGGAAAUUCGUAUGAUCGACCCACAGUCUGCAGAGCAUGUGCUUUAAAUGUUCUAAUAGUGGGGACGACGGGCAAUGACUCACCCACACCCUCUUGCCUAGUCACCCUGUGACAGGUGACACAUAUCUGAGACAUCUGCUGUGAGGUACUGAAAGCACUCAGACCAGGUCGCACUGGGAGGGAAGCUCAGGAGAGACAGAACCUUUGACACCAGCCUUGCUGACCGCAUACCGUCUAAGGGGAGGUGGUCUUUGAGAAGAAAAAGAGAAACAAGGUUGUUUUGUAACCCUAACAUACCCUAGACUGCAUGUCAACCCCUCACCACAAAACGCCAAGCAGGGGGUAAUUAACGGGCCACAGGGACUCUGUCUGUAGACUAUCAAUCAUCUGUAUUUCUAGAUUCAGGGGGUUGCCAAAAUAUGAAUGAGACGUAGUCUAUAUUACUUACAAAGAUUUAGCAUUUUGAAUUCUGUAUCUACUUUUGUUCGAGAAAAGAUUAUAGAAUGUUACUGCAAAAAGCCAGUUUAGCGCCAUAAAACUAGAUGUGGCACUGAUGGGACGGAUCGAAUGGUGUCUUCCCCAAAUUCAUAUUGUGAGGCCAUGGGGGUCCUAAGCCCCAUGUGCCUGAUGGAGACAGGGUUUUGAGAGAUGCUUGAAGUUAAAUUAGGGCAUCAUCUCUGAUCCAACAGAACUGGCUCAUCGGAAGAGGAAGAGACACCAGAGCUCCGUCUGCCAUGUGAGGACACAGCAAGGAGGCAGCUCUCUGCAAGCCAGGAAGAUGGUUAUCAUAAGAACCUGACUCUGCUGGGACUUGCAGCCUCCAGAACCAGGGGAAAAUAAGUAUGUGCCAUAUAAGCCAACCAAUCUGUGAUAUUUUGUUAUGGCAGCCUGAGCAGACUAAGACACUAACCUCCAAGAACCAUGUGGAUUCUCGGGGCUUAGAGUUCCAGGCUCCAUAGCCUGGACCCAGGACACUAAAUGCUCCCUAUGCUGGCUGCCAAAUGUCCAGAUUUGGAGGCAUUUCCAAAAUCAGUAAAAGGAAUGUAAGUUCUGCCAGCUUGGGCAGCUGUUCAUAAGCAAGGAAUUUAGAAAUUAGGUGCUCUCAUCUAUAAACAAGAAAGCAAAACUACACACCAUGUAUGUGUUUGCUCAUCCAACAAAAAUUCAUUGAAUACCAACCAACUAUGUGUUGGGCACACAGGCAGAAGAGACAUGGUAAAAAACAGGACAGACAAAACAUCCAUCCCGUCCCCAGACAGCUGAUCCUCUCCUGGGGGAAGACAUGAUAAAUAAGUAAAACAUAUGAUAUGCUAGACAGUGAAAAAGAGAAAAUUAAGACAGCAAGGGGGAUAAGGAAUAUUGGUGGUGAUUUUCAAUAGAGAGGUCAGGGGACAUCUCACUAAGAGGGUGCCAGAGGAGAAAAGACCUGAAGGAGGUAAGGGAGGGAGCCUUGUGUAUAUCAGCAAAAGACCAUCCCAGGGGUUCCCGUCGUGGCUCAGUGGAAACGAAUCGGACUAGUAUCCACGAGGACACAAGUUCGACCCCUGGCCUCGCUCAGUGGGUUAAGGAUCUGGCGUUGCCUUGAGCUGUGGUGUAGAUCGCAGACAUGGCUUGGAUCUGGCGUUGUUGUGGCCAUGGUGGAGGCCAGCAGCUACAGCUCUGAUUUGACUCCUAUCCUGGGAACCUCGAUAUGCCAUGGGUGCAGCCUUAAAAAGACAAAAAAAAAAAAAAAAAAUCCCAGAAUAACAGAAAUUUCUGAGGCAUGUUGGAAAAUACCAAGAAGGGCAGUGUGUCAAGGAAGAGAUGAAAUGAGGUGAGAGUUUGUCGAUCAUCUCACGGACUUCACCCUGUCUCCCCUAAGCAGAGCAGUAGCCCGACUGCUUUGUAUUUGACCAGGGUCUCUCAGGCUGCUGUGCUGACAGAGCUGCUGUGGAGUGAAAGCUCAGAACUCGUGCUGUAUUGGCUUCCUAGGGCUGUGGUAACCAGUUACCACAACUGGUGGCUUAAAACAAAAGUACUGUAUUCUCUCACAUUUCUGGAGGUUGGAGGUCUGAAAUCAAGGUGUUCUGGAUGGACGUGAAUGGAGGGUACAGGGGUGGGGAUACUAUACAAGUCACCACAUACACCUAUAAUUAAAACACUGCCUUUCGGUUUAUUAUCUGAAAAAACUAGCCUUAUUUUUAUUUACUCAACUAACGUUAGGUCCUUCAGGUUACAGGAAGGAAAACACCACGUGAAAUAAGCGUAGGGCCCUCAGUAAGAUGGAACUGGCUAAAAAGAAAGUAUAAAUAAAAACAUCAAACAAAGUCCAGGCCUGAGGGACUAAUUCAUCUUUUUUCAAAGUAAUAGUGAACUAAAUAUGAACAUAUACAUAUGAAAAGAAAACCAAAAAUGCCUUUCCACAAAAUUACUUUCAGUAAUCAUGGUUUUAGCCCUAGCUCUAGGAGUGAAUGGCCUUGACUGCAACCAAGUGGUCAGCAGGUCUGUACUCGAGUCUCCAGGAUAAAGGCAGGGUAGGGGAUGCCAAUCCUUUCCUGGUGACUUUUAAAAAGGGGACGUGUUUAUGCUCCCAGAAACAAAAAUGUAGGACACACUCGCUCUCUGCAAAUCAUAAUAAAGAAACUGUUAAAGUAACAUAUCUCUUCCCCAGGCUCACCCAUUUGCCACCCUCUCCACUGGGGCCUUCUGAGCCAGGUUCACCAAAGUCUGGGAAGAAAUCCCAGGAGAGAUCAUCCAGGGCGCAGGCAGCCCUGCCUCCUUUACCUGUCGGGUUUGCUGCAGCCACCUGUGCUCCCCAGGUGGCCUGGUCUUACUUAGCACAUUUUCUUAUGGCUGUACCCAUUUCAGAAUAAAGUCAUGGGCCAUUUCUGGAGAAGUAUUGAGCCCAGGAAUAAAUAUUGCUUUGCAGUCAUAAGCUAGUUAUGUCUGGUGAUCACAGGAAUUCAUUCUCUCUCUUGUAUUUCUGUCUCUUACACACACACACACACACACACGCGUGCGCUCCACAUACCUGCGUGCACACACAUACUUCACAUACUAUUUACUGCCCUGCCUCUUCAAUACGACCCCCUCUUCUGGUGUAACUGUUCCCCUCACACAUGCGCAUUUCAUGCCCCCCCCACCGCAAACCUGGCCUUACUGAGCACCUGCGCCUUCCGCUUUUCCACCCAGGUGGAAUGCUGUCCACCUGAUCCC